AAGUAUAUUUUCAUGAGAUACAAUGGCAAUCAGGCGGCACAUGCAGAAGAGUUGUGGAAGGUUGAUUGAGAAGUCAUAAGGACUGGGUGAAGCAAAAUGCAAUCUCCAAGUUUCAGGUUUCAAAAUGAGAAAUUGGAGCAUUGAGACCUUUGAACUGAAACCUAAAUAAAGGUAUACAUAUUUAUGUUGGUCUAAAACCACCAUGUUUUAUCUGUAGAAAAUAGAAAUCGCCGUUCGGUUUCAUUUACAAAUUAAAUUAAACUAUAGACAUAGUCCACGACGUCGGGACAAAUAGAGUAACUAAUUAUAUGUAUGUUUUUUCCAGCAAAGAACUUAUUAUAAAAUAGGACACCAGAAAAUCCAAUGGGAAAUUGAUGGGCUCCCCUCUUCGUAAAAAAGUUACUUCACGGCAUUGCCUAAUGUACAGAGAAAUCACGGGGUCAAAAAUUGCUUUCCCGCCCAUGACAUA